CGGAGGGUGCGAGCGUUGUCCGGAAUCAUUGGGCGUAAAGGGCGCGUAGGUGGCCUGUGCAAGCGUGCGGUGAAAGCUCGGGGCUCAACCCCGGGUGGCCGUGCGAACUGCUGGGCUCGAGCACUGUAGAGGCAGGCGGAAUUCCGGGUGUAGCGGUGGAAUGCGUAGAGAUCCGGAAGAACACCGGUGGCGAAGGCGGCCUGCUGGGCAGUGGCUGACACUGAGGCGCGACAGCGUGGGGAGCAAACAGGAUUAGAUACCCUGGUAGUCCACGCCGUAAACGAUGGGCACUAGGCGCUUGGGGGAGCGACCCUCCGAGGGCCGGCGCUAACGCAUUAAGUGCCCCGCCUGGGGAGUACGGCCGCAAGGCUG
rnacentral:rRNA from 1 species